rnacentral:rRNA from 1 species
CAACAGGGAUUGCCCCAGUAACGGCGAGUGAAGCGGCAACAGCUCAAAUUUGAAAUCUGGCUCUCGGGCCCGAGUUGUAAUUUGUAGAGGAUGCUUUUGGUGAGGUGCCUUCCGAGUUCCCUGGAACGGGACGCCAUAGAGGGUGAGAGCCCCGUCUGGUUGGACGCCGAACCUCUGUAAAGCUCCUUCGACGAGUCGAGUAGUUUGGGAAUGCUGCUCUAAAUGGGAGGUAUAUGUCUUCUAAAGCUAAAUACCGGCCAGAGACCGAUAGCGCACAAGUAGAGUGAUCGAAAGAUGAAAAGAACUUUGAAAAGAGAGUUAAACAGUACGUGAAAUUGUUGAAAGGGAAGCGCUUGUGACCAGACUUGGGCUUGGUUGAUCAUCCGGGGUUCUCCCCGGUGCACUCUUCCGGCCCAGGCCAGCAUCAGUUCGCCCUGGGGGAUAAAGGCUUCGGGAACGUGGCUCUCUCCGGGGAGUGUUAU